UGGUCUCAGUUCGGACUGUAGGCUGCAACUCGCCUACACGAAGUUGGAAUUGCUAGUAAUCGUGGAUCAGCAUGCCACGGUGAAUACGUUCCCGGGUCUUGUACACACCGCCCGUCACACCAUGAGAGUUGAGAAUACCCGAAGCCCAUGUCAAAGUGGUCGAAGGUAGGCUUGAUGAUUGGGGUGAAGUCGUAACAAGGUAUC
rnacentral:rRNA from 1 species